rnacentral:rRNA from 1 species
AUUGAACGCUGGCGGCAUGCUUUACACAUGCAAGUCGAACGGUAACAGGCCGCAAGGUGCUGACGAGUGGCGAACGGGUGAGUAAUGCAUCGGAACGUGCCCAGUCGUGGGGGAUAACUACUCGAAAGAGUAGCUAAUACCGCAUACGAUCUAUGGAUGAAAGCGGGGGACCGUAAGGCCUCGCGCGAUUGGAGCGGCCGAUGUCAGAGUAGGUAGUUGGUGGGGUAAAGGCUCACCAAGCCAACGAUCUGUAGCUGGUCUGAGAGGACGACCAGCCACACUGGGACUGAGACACGGCCCAGACUCCUACGGGAGGCAGCAGUGGGGAAUUUUGGACAAUGGGCGCAAGCCUGAUCCAGCAAUGCCGCGUGCAGGAAGAAGGCCUUCGGGUUGUAAACUGCUUUUGUACGGAACGAAACGGCUCUGGUUAAUACCCGGGGCUAAUGACGGUACCGUAAGAAUAAGCACCGGCUAACUACGCG